rnacentral:rRNA from 1 species
CUACGGGCUGCUGCAGUGGGGAAUAUUGGACAAUGGGGGAAACCCUGAUGCAGCAACGCCGCGUGGAGGAUGACACUUUUCGGAGCGUAAACUCCUUUUAUAUAGGAAGAAGAUGACGGUACUAUAUGAAUAAGCGCCGGCUAACUCCGUGCCAGCAGCCGCGGUAAUACGGAGGGCGCAAGCGUUACUCGGAAUCACUGGGCGUAAAGAGCGUGUAGGCGGAUUAAAAAGUCAGAAGUGAAAUCCUAUAGCUUAACUAUAGAACUGCUUCUGAAACUCUUAAUCUAGAAUAUGGGAGAGGUAGAUGGAAUUUCUGGUGUAGGGGUAAAAUCCGUAGAGAUCAGAAGGAAUACCGAUUGCGAAGGCGAUCUACUAGAACAUUAUUGACGCUGAGACGCGAAAGCGUGGGGAGCAAACAGGAUUAGAUACCCCGGUAGUC